GACACGCUGGCGGCGUGCCUAACACAUGCAAGUCGAACGGUCCGGCACUCAACCGACCCUCAGUCUAGCUGUAGGUGAGGUUAAGUGCCGGAUAGUGGCGGACGGGUGAGUAACGCGUGGGCAACCAACCCUGUACAGUGGGAUAACACCGGGAAACCGGUGCUAAUACCGCAUGACACCUAGAUGGUGCAUACUGUUUAGGUUAAAGGGCAAAACCGGUACGGGACGGGCCCGCGUCCCAUUAGCUGGUUGGUGAGGUAACGGCUCACCAAGGCGACGAUGGGUAGCCGACCUGAGAGGGUGACCGGCCACACUGGGACUGAGACACGGCCCAGACUCCUACGAGAGGCAGCAGUGGGGAAUAUUGCGCAAUGGACGGAAGUCUGACGCAGCGACGCCGCGUGAGCGACGAAGGCCUUCGGGUCGUAAAGCUCUGUUCUUGGGGACGAAGGAAAUGACGGUACCCAAGGAGAAAGCCCCGGCUAACUACGUG
rnacentral:rRNA from 1 species